UCAGCUUUGCCCUCUGGACUUGGCAGUUGUCCGGUCAUGCCAACUUGACCUUCAGGCCUCAAACCUCUGGACUCACACGGACCUCUGACCCCGGUGACCUGGGGGCAAGGAGAAACGAGAGAGGCAAUGGAAGGGUGUGAACCAUAGUGGAAGAUGGCGUGAUGAGGCAUUCACAGUAGAACAAAGAAAUACAAUUAGAAUCGAUGAAAAACUGCAGACAAGCACUGAGAAACAACAAAUGUGCAAAAGAAGACAAACUGUGCAAAUAUAAAAAAACAACAAAUAAUAAUUUAAAGAAGUAAUUAAGUCCCUGUCUGCGAGUCAAGUUACAACGAUGUUUACUUCUUAAACACAAGACAGGAAAUCUUUCCUCUCUGCCCGACCCUCUCCUCACCCAAACGUGGAUGAAAACAAGUUGACUACUUGAAGCUGCUGAGUAAUGAUGACGGGGGAGCUUGAGAUGUUUGCAGAG